rnacentral:rRNA from 1 species
CAGUCGCCGCGGUAAUACGGAGGGUGCAAGCGUUGUUCGGAAUUACUGGGCGUAAAGCGCACGUAGGCGGCUUUGUAAGUCAGAGGUGAAAGCCUGGAGCUCAACUCCAGAACUGCCUUUGAGACUGCAUCGCUCGAAUCCGGGAGAGGUGAGUGGAAUUCCGAGUGUAGAGGUGAAAUUCGUAGAUAUUCGGAAGAACACCAGUGGCGAAGGCGGCUCACUGGACCGGUAUUGACGCUGAGGUGCGAAAGCGUGGGGAGCAAACAGGAUUAGAGACCCCGGUAGUCCCUGUCUCUUAUAC